ACGAAAUUGCUAUCUCAUUCAACACACAGUUUAUUGAAAAAUGUUUCUCUUUCUCUUUCUUUCUCAUCCUCUCUCUCUCUUGUCUUCUCUUCUUCCUCUCUCUCCUGUCUUCUCUUCUUCCUCUUCGUCUGUUACAGAAACAACUUCAAAUAUCCACCACCUAAUAACGAUGCUGAUGCCUCAGAAAAUCGUCGAUGGCCUCUGAUUCAAAAUGUUUUGUUGUUCUAUUGUUCUUCCAUUGAUUUGAAGUGUGAAGGGGUGAAAAGAAGGAUUACAUAUGCAUCAAACCCGAAUGGAAUAGAAGAGAGUGUAUAA